CCUUCGCCUACCUUCGCCUGACAGCCCGUGGCCCCGGCCCGGCCGUCGCCCCGCCCCUCGCCGCGCUGCCCCACCCCAGGUGGGCUUCAGGUCAGGCGGGCAGACUGGGCUCUUCCUAGGUGUGCCUCGCCUGCUCAAGGGAAACUGAGGCAGACUCCCUGUAGAUUCCCGAUAAUUCUGAGUGGGUGAGAAUCAGACUACCUGUGUGACAGGCAUGCAGUGGCCCACUGUCGACUGCAGAGGAGUGUGGUGGUGAUUCACAGUCAUGUUUGUGCCGGACUGCAGCUGCAUCACCACACCCAGUGACUAAGUCCUGUACGGAAGACCUGGUUUAGAUCCAGACAAUGGCAGAGAGCAGAAAGACCAUUGCCCUGUGCUUGGAAAGAUGGUGGAGUGGUGAGCAGCUGAGAGGGUCUUCCCGAGGCUUGGUGUUGAGAAUUGAAGCCUCUCAGGAGAGUGAAGGAGCCAUGGUGGUAAAGACGCAGCAGGCUACAACGGGUUCACUCCAGGACCCAUGAUGGGGUGGUAGAAGGUGGCAGAGACCUCAGACCCUGUGCUGGCAAAGAAGCCAUGUCCCUGAUAUUGGGAGGCCAAUGUGGACAGGGGUCAGGGUGACUCUCACUUCUGUAUGAGCCGGGUGUGGCAGCAGGGACUAUAAUCCUACCACUUGGACAGCUCAGGAAGGAGCAUUGCUGUGAGUUCAAGCCCAGCCUGAACUACAUAAUGAAACCUAGACUGAAGAAAACCAAACAAACAAAUAAAUGCAUGCUACAACAUUUGAGGCAUUUAUUGAGGAGAGCACCCCAUUCUAUCUGUGCCAUAGGAAUAUUUGGAGAACCAAAUAAGGCAAAGAAGGUGUGGAACCUUAGAAAGUGACAAUGCCUGAUCCAAAACCAAUGCUGGCCUCAGCAUUUGUGUGGGCCACUAGAAGCACCAGUGGCAGCGUUUCCCAAACACACCUAGAGGACCCGAUCUCCAGAUCACCCUGGGCAUCUCCAUCUGCUGCAGAUUAACCCACUUGGGAAUGUCUUGAACAACAUUCUUUCCUCUUGAGUUUUAAGAAGUGAAUUAAGCUUCUUUUAACAAUUCCACUCACUAUAAUUAAUCAGUGUAAUGCAGCAGACCAGCACGGGGAAAGCUUUUCUAGAUUUCAGUUGGAAACUUUUCUUGAUCUUUUCCUUUCUGUGUCUCUUUUUAAAGAUUCUGUCAUCUCAUAAUCUUUUUGUGCCUUUUACUUUUUAAUUAAUGCAUGCCCAUGACACAUCAUGAUCACAGGAUAAUCUGCUCUGGGGAAUCAGGACACACAUGUCAGAUCAUUUUUAUCCCCUUUCUCCCUCACCCAACUCUGCCUCCUCCCCAGAUCCUUCUCUAUCUCCAAAAAGCCGACCUCCCUGUUUCUUUUCACCUUUCUAGGCUUAAGUAAUUUUUAAAAUGAGUUCUUCAGAAUUUUUGUUAGACUGAGGUCCAGGGUUCAGAAACUCAGUUAUCCCUUGAGCCGAGCCAUGAAUUGCAGAGCAAUGAAGGUAUUUAGUAUCAUUUCCAAGCAGUGAAAUGUGGGAAAAGGAGAGAUUUAAAAUAGAGAUAUUGGCUGGGGAGGUAGCUUGGUGGCACAGGGCAUGCUCAGCAUGUGCAAGGCCCUUGUUUCUAUCCCCAGCACCUUAAAAGAAACACAAAAUAGACACAUUACCUGGAAAGUAAAGCAACUUUUUAUAACUUGCUCUAUUGUUCUUUAUAAUAUUACUUCUAAGAUUUAGCCUGGAAGUAAGAAUAAAUCUUACCUAGCUUGCUUUGUGGUUUCUAAACAGUGAUUGAAUUCUAGCAUUGCACAGUUCCUUGUGAUCUCUGUUUCUGUUUUUGCAGUUCUGGGGCUCGAACCCAAGACCUAGUGCAGUUAGACAAGCACUUUACCACUGAGCCACAUCCCCGGCCCUUGAUCUGUUUCCGAUGCAGGGCCAAUGCUGUGUCACAUCUAGUCAUGUAACAUCCAGGAUUGAGUGGAAUGGUAAUCAGUGGUUUCUAGGGAGUGACAGUGCUCAUCUCCUCAGAAAAGGAGAAGGAGUCUGAGGUUAAGAAGAAAAGACACGACUUGUGACCAGGAGACCCAGCCACUGAGGACCCACCCUGGGCCUGCCCACCAGCUGCCAGCUUAGCUGCAUGGGCAGAGCGGGUAUGGGCUGACUGUGCCCUGCUCAGUCUGGCUUGCUCCGCCCACUUGCCACCAGGAGACCCAGCCGACCCAGCCAGAGACCCAGCCAAUGAUAACCCCCCGGGCAUGCAAGAACAGCUUCCCCCCAUCACCUCUGGCCUCUUGGCUGUGCAGCUACUUGAUUCCAAACUACAGAGGCACAGGGGAACAUAAAGUCUAUUGUCCUGAGCUGCAGAAGUGAAAAACAGAGAGAGGGCCUCUCUCAGGCUCCCUGAUGAAAA